rnacentral:rRNA from 1 species
CGAGUAGGUGGUUUGCCAAGUCAGGAGUGAAAACUCCGGGCUCAACCUGGAGAUUGCUACUGAAACUGGCAGACUUGAGUGCAGGAGAGGGAAGCGGAAUUCCUAGUGUAGCGGUGAAAUGCGUAGAUAUUAGGAGGAACACCAGUGGCGAAGGCGGCUUCCUGGCCUGUAACUGACACUGAGGCGCGAAAGCGUGGGGAGCGAACA